rnacentral:pre_miRNA from 1 species
UAAUUGUAAUAGUAAUGAUGAUGAUGAUGAUGAUGAUGAUAAUCAUCAUCAUCACCAUCAUCAUCAUCAUCAUCAUCAUCAUCAUCAUUAGCAUUA